CAAGAAAGUCUUCUUUGAGGCACUGGUACUUUUUCUUUAUAUCAGAGGACAUUAAAAGACACUAAAUAAGAUAAACACAGACUUUUGGCAACCUACAUCUCCUAUAGGGCCAUCUGACAUAAGAAGAUUUUGGAAAUCCAAAUACGAUCUCUUUUUUUUUUUUCUUCUAGGUCCCUUGCUUAAAAUCAACAGAGAAGAGCCAUCGGAACCAAGGACAAUGAGCAGGAGCAUCUGGAUGGGAAGCACGGACAGGGCCUAUGGAAAUGGAACAGACACUUGGAUGGAAAAGCAGCUCAAGAUGGGAUGAGAAAGCAGGCAAAGGAGAAAAGAUCUUCAAUAGUCCCAGAAUAAAACUGGAAGCACGUGGCACAACAAAACACACGGGAGCAAUAGCAAGGAGCAGGAAGAAUUAUCAGAGCCACAUUCCAGGUAAUUCCAAGCUCUUAACUCCAAUAUUUAACCAUAUCCCUUUGUUUCUGGAACUGGACCACAAAGCCUGUGAUGUGGUUCUUGUCACUAAUUCUGUCACUAAUCCUGAGGAUCCAAAACUUUUCCCUUUACAUCUACCAUUCUCCUUUUUCCACAAUCUAAUAAGCUUAGUGAGUGAUGAUCACAGCCUCCCUUUCUACCUCUUCUUAGGUCUCCACCUUUAUAGUCCUGGGUCUACUUACUACAAUCUAUUGGAAGCAAAUACAUUAUUGAGUUAAAGCAGAGAUCUCAACUAGAUGAGUAAGGGUGUUGAGAAAUGAGGUGGAAGAGAAGAAAACAAGAUAAAAUUAGUUCCAGAGUAUUGCCUAAGAUCCUUCGAACAUCUUAUUUGGAAUGAAGGUGAAGGGCUGUAACACUAGGCUUCUGAGUUCCUUCUUUACCAGAGCUACUAAUGUGGUGUGCAAAGCAGUAAGUGUUCCAUUGGCCCGAGGGAAUUUGUCCUGUUGCCAGACCUAUCACCAAGAAGGCAUACAGGCUUUCUGAGUGAUUAACCAUGCUCAGCAGAUUUUAUUAAUGGUUGUGAUGACUACCUACAUAAUUCUUCCCACGCACAUAUGAGACUUUUAAGGGCAACUGUGAGAAGACAAUUUCACAAAUUUCUUUGGUAAUCCCUUCUUCUGGUCAUAUAACCAAUGGAAGCAGGGGCUUUCCCACAUGUCUGAGAUAAACUGGCAUGCUGAAGCUCAGACCCUUUCCAGAGAUACUAUUCUGACCCCUCCACUUUCCUCUUCCACAUGGACUUAAUAAUCUGAUCUACUGCACUUUACUUUUAUGGGGGUAUAGGGGCUUCUGAACCAGCCAGAAUAAUUCAUGACCCUCUUCCUCACCUGAGAGCUGAAUAAAUUGAAAAAAGAGUAAAAGAUGGUCGUUGAAUAAAUUGAGAAAAAAGUAAAAGACGGUGGUCAGAAUAUCCCUUUGUGAGCACUAACAGCUAAGACAGAGGAUGCAGCUUCAUAUGACCGUUAAACAGCCUUCCUAACAAUAACAGUUUGAACAGGUCAGACUUAUUUCUCUGCCAGCCAAGUCUCAGGCCCAUGCAGCUAAGAUGUGCAGAAUGAGUGAACAAAGUGAGCCGAGCUUUAUUCUUCAGAAUUUAUUAAUCAUCUGAGGCAUUGCCCCUUCCCCUUUCCUCAGGUUGCUGAGUACAUAGAGAGAAGAAGAGCCAGAAGCAUUCAGAGAAAAUCCCUUCUAAUAUAAAGUGCACAUUGGGAAGAGUAAACCUUUACUUAAAAAUUAACCAAUGGGGCCAACUCUACUGAACUAAAUUGAAGCUUUAAAACAAAUUUUUUUUGGUCUACUCAGUCAUUCCAGGAGCAGUCUCUGCCAUUUCAAGGAUAGGUGCAGUCAUGGGUAACGGUUCUAUUUCUCCUUCAGUAAUGUUUAUUUCUGAACAUUCCUGGCUAAUUAUACUGCUUGGUCAACCAAACCGGGCUGGCCAAACCUUCCACAGGAGGCUCUGUGGGAAUUGCCUGGAGACUUGAUUAUUCACUUGAGUAGCCAGAAAGUUGAUCCCGAGUCAUGGCUGGGUCCAGCCCUCUGGCUCAGUGUGCAGAACUCCGCCCUGGCUGAGCAGUUACCUUGUUCAGAGCCAUGCCCUGAGCCUGUUUGCAGCAGUGGCACUAAUUAUCACUAAUCCUCCUUGGCUGAGACAGCCUGUGCAUGAUACUACAUUUGGCACACUCACACCUCCAUAGUCUUCCGAAGAGCCUGCGGGGAAUGACGGCACGGUGAUCAGUACCAGGGAAUAAGGUGGGAUGAGAAAAGGUUACACUGGUAUCCUCAUCAACCUGGUCAAUCUAUGUCAGGUGAACAGGGAGAGACACCUAGAGGCUUGUUAGUCAUCAUUGCUAUGUAUGCUUUAUACCAUAUUACGCAUUUUUGGAGGGCAGAAAGGGACAUUACUUCUCCAGUGUUUUUUUUGUUUUGUUUUGUUUUUGACAUGGAGUUUCACUCUUGUUACCCAGGCUGGAGUGCAAUGGCGCAAUCUCGGCUCACCGCAACCUCUGUCUCCUGGGUUCAGGCAAUUCUCCUGCCUCAGCCUCCUGAGUAGCUGGGAUUACAGGCACGUGCCACUGUGCCCAGCUAAUUUUUUGUAUUUUUAGUAGAGACGGGGUUUCACCAUGUUGACCAGGAUGGUCUCGAUCUGACCAGGAUGGUCUUGAUCUCUUGACCUCGUGAUCCACCCACCUCGGCCUCCCAAAGUGCUGGGAUUACAGGCAUGAGCCACUGUGCCCAGCCUUCUCCAGUGUCUUCUUUCUGUGGCUUGAAUGUUUCUUCCAUAGAAAAGAUCACCAUGUGUCCUGGAGGACACAUGGGCUUAGAGCUCGAUAAGUUUAAGGGUGGCGUUCAGCCCUCUUAGUGCUCUCAGGGGACAUGUCCCUUUAUCUCUUCGAACAUCAGCUCUCCUAUCUGCAAAAUAAAUGCAUAAUAAUUACCCCAAGAAUUCAUGAUGACUAUUAACUAGAAUUAUACAUGUGAAGUACUCAGAACACCUAGUACUAGAACAUAGUGACAUAAAAGUUGAUCUAACUAAAAUUAUCCUAUGACAAACUACCACAGAGCAGAAAAAAUAAUCUUCAGAUACACGGUUUUGGAAUUUUAUGAGGCAAGAAUUUUGACUAAGGAGGCUACCCUUCAAAGAAUACAUAUCACUCCAAGUUCCCGAGAUAUAUUUCAUCCCUUGCCCUUCCCUGUUUUCUAAUUUUGACUCUUUUUUGAUGGCAUUAAUCUAAAGUGGUGCCAUUUUACAACAAAGUAGAAAUGGAAGUCAUGGAAAGGUGAUAUUUCAACAAGGGAAAUAAGGGAACAGAAUUGCCUGUCUUAAGAACCUGCAUGAAAUGAGAUGCCAUCUCACCCCAGUUGAAAUGGCUUUUACUCAAAAGACAGGCAAUAAAAAAUGCUGGAACGAAUGUGAGGAAAAGAGAACCCCAGUACACUGUUGGUGGGAAUGUAAAUUAGUACAAUGACAUGGAGAAAAAGUUGGAGAUUCCCAAAAACUAAAAACAGAACAACCAUAUAAUUCAGCAACCCCACUUCUAGGCGUAUGACAAUAAGAAAGAAAGUAAGGAUAUUGAAGAGAUAUCUGCACUCCCAUGUUUAUUGCAGUGCUGUUCAUAAUAGCCAAGAUUUGGAGGCAACCUAAGCGUCCAUGAAUAGAAAAAUGGAUAAAGAAAAUGUGGUACAUAUACACAAUGGAGUACUAUUUACCCAUAAAAAUAUAAUGAGAGCUUGUCCUUUGCAACAACAGAGAUAGAACUGGAGGUCAUUAUGUUAAGUGAAAUAAGCCUGGCACAGAAAAAGAAACUGCAUAUUUGGAGACAUUUGUAUGGACAAAAAUUUAAAUCAAUUGAACUCAUGGCAACAAAGAGUAGAAGGAAGGUUACUAGAGACUGGGAAGGGUAGUGCAGGGUUGGGGAAGAGUUGGGAGGAUUAACUGGCACAAAAAUAUAGUUAGAUAGAAUGAAUAAGAUCUAGUAUUGGAUAGCACAAUAGGGUGGCUACAAUCAACAGUAAUUUAUUAUAUAUUUUUAAAUAAGUAAAAGAGUAUAAUUGGAAUGC
rnacentral:lncRNA from 1 species